rnacentral:lncRNA from 1 species
AAAGCAGAAAGCAAGCUGUCUAAAUUUGAGCCAUAUUUCUCAUUAAAUUAUAUGAUGGUUAUAUAAGAUACAUAUUUGUAAGAUGCAUGGGAACAGCAGCAUUAGGAUCUAAAGUAGACUUCAACUCACACACCUUACAUCCCACAUGAUUUUAGUGUAACUGUCACUUUCUACAUUUAUUAUUUAUGUUCUAUAAGGGCCAUCUCAGUCUGACACUUUGAUGAGUGAAGUUAUUCCACAAGUUCCUAUGUCACUCAAAUUGUAAUGAUCAAUGAGACAGAUUCUUUGUGACCAUGUUAGCUAAAAAUUAUAAAUCUUGGGAAUGCAGAAAUCGGUUUAUGGUAUAAAAAUAUUAAUGCUAACAAAAACAGCUGAUCAAUAAAAAAUC